rnacentral:lncRNA from 1 species
GCUGCUUCUUUCAAAACGCGUCUUUUCUUCCUUUUGACACAUGCACUUGCGUUUGCAACCUUCUGCUUCCCGGUACUGGGGAUUUUUUAUUGUUUCCUGCUGGGUAUUCCUGUUGUAACCUUCUGCUUUCCGGUGGGGUUACUGCUCUCAAAAUCUGAAAUAUUUAAACUAAAACAUGAAAAAUAUUCCUCUCAUUAUACAGGUGAGCGCCUAUUUAAACUAAGACAUGAAAAGUAUUCCUCUCGUUAUACAGGUGGGCGCCUAUUUAAACCAAGACUGAAAAGUAUUCCUCUCAUUAUACAGGUGAGCGCCUAUUUAAACUAAGACUGAAAAUAUUCCUCUUAUUAUACAGGUGGGCGCCUAUUUAAACUAAGAUUGAAAAAAGUAUUCCUUUCGUUAUACAGGUGGGCGCCUAUUUAAACUAAGACUGAAAAGUAUUCCUCUCGUUAUACAGGUGGGCGCCUAUUUAAACUAAGACUGAAAAUAUUCCUCUCAUUAUACAGGUGGGCGCCUAUUUAAACUAAGACUGAAAAGUAUUCCUCUCGUUAUACAGGUGGGCGCCUAUUUAAACUAAGACUGAAAAGUAUUCCUCUCGUUAUACAGGUGG